rnacentral:rRNA from 1 species
CCAAGGAGUCUAACAUGUGUGCGAGUCGUAGGGUGCGUACGAAACCCGAAGGCAAAGUGAAAGCACGGGCCAAUUCAUUGGCCGAGGCGGGAUCCGUCCGUUUCCCCUCGCGGGAAUACGGGCGGCGCACCGCCGGCCCGUCUCGACCGCAGCGUCGGUGAGGCGGAGCAAGAGCAGACACGUUGGGACCCGAAAGAUGGUGAACUAUUCCUAGGCAGGACGAAGCCAGAGGAAACUCUGGUGGAGGUCCGUAGCGUUUCUGACGUGCAAAUCGAUCGUCAGACCUGGGUAUAGGGGCGAAAGACUAAUCGAACCAUCUAGUAGCUGGUUCCCUCCGAAGUUUCCCUCAGGAUAGCUGGCUCUCGAGCGAAACACAGUCUCAUCCGGUAAAGCGAAUGAUUAGAGGCCUUGGGGCCGAAACGACCUCAACCUAUUCUCAAACUUUCAAUGGGUGAGAAGUCCGGCUUGCUCGACUGAAGCCCGGACGUCGGAUGCGAGUGCCCAGUGGGCCACUUUUGGUAAGCAGAACUGGCGCUGUGGGAUGAACCAAACGCCGGGUUACGGCGCCCAAUGCGACGCUCAUCAGACACCAUGAAAGGUGUUGGUUGCUAUAGACAGCAGGACGGUGGCCAUGGAAGUCGGAAUCCGCUAAGGAGUGUGUAACAACUCACCUGCCGAAGCAACUAGCCCUGAAAAUGGAUGGCGCUCAAGCGUCGAGCCUAUACCCGGCCGCCGGGGCAGAGCCGAUUUCUAAAAGCAGCAGACGCCCCGGCGAGUAGGAGGGUCGCGGCGGCGAGCGGAAAAGGGUCGGGCGCAGGCCCGCCUGGAGCCGCCGCCGGUGCAGAUCUUGGUGGUAGUAGCAAAUACUCGAGUGAGAACCUUGAGGACUGAUGUGGAGAAGGGUUCCAUGUGAACAGCAGUUGAACAUGGGUCAGUCGGCCCUAAGGAAUAGGGAAAUCCCGUUCCGAAUUUUGGGUUUAUAUUCUAAGAAAAUAUCCCAAACUCAACCGAAAGGGAAUCGGGUUAAUAUUCCCGAACCCGGACACGGAGAUCGGGCCUUCAUAGGUCCAGUGCGGUGACGCAAACGCCCUCGGAGACGUCGGCGGGAGUCCCGGGAAGAGUUGUCUUUUCUUUGUAAGGAACGGAAUCCCUGGAAUCGGUUCGCCCGGAGAUAGGGAUGUGGUUUCCGUAAAGCACCGCGCCUCCUGCGGUGUCCGGACAGCUCUCGUCGGCCCUUGAAAAUCCGAGGAAGGCAGUGCGAUUUUCGUGCCGGGCCGUACCCAUAUCCGCAGCAGGUCUCCAAGGUGAACAGCCUCUAGUCGAUAGAUCA